rnacentral:rRNA from 1 species
GCAGGCGGUCUGUCAAGUCGGAUGUGAAAUCCCCGGGCUCAACCUGGGAACUGCAUUCGAAACUGGCAGGCUUGAGUCUUGUAGAGGGGGGUAGAAUUCCAGGUGUAGCGGUGAAAUGCGUAGAGAUCUGGAGGAAUACCGGUGGCGAAGGCGGCCCCCUGGACAAAGACUGACGCUCAGGUGCGAAAGCGUGGGGAGCAAACAGGAUUAGAUACCCUGGUAGUCCACGCCGUAAACGAUGUCUACUUGGAGGUUGUGCCCUUGAGGCGUGGCUUCCGGAGCUAACGCGUUAAGUAGACCGCCUGGGGAGUACGGCCGCAAGGUUAAAACUCAAAUGAAUUGACGGGGGCCCGCACAAGCGGUGGAGCAUGUGGUUUAAUUCGAUGCAACGCGAAGAACCUUACCUGGUCUUGACAUCCACAGAAGAAUCCAGAGAUGGAUUUGUGCCUUCGGGAACUGUGAGACAGGUGCUGCAUGGCUGUCGUCAGCUCGUGUUGUGAAAUGUUGGGUUAAGUCCCGCAACGAGCGCAAC